ACCAAGCCUUUCUUUCGUAUCAAUUCAGCUUUCUGUCCUCCAUUUUAUCAGUCCCAUUACUACGACUUCAGCUUUAUUUCAUUUCAGCUCUUUAUUUCCUUUCGCUGUCAGCUUCUCUCCACGUACAAUAACACAGCUCGAUCUCCACAUUGACAAUCCCAACCAUCACAUUUACACUCCAAGCCUCCCUCCGAGGCUCUCCCACCCGACGAUCUGAUUCUGCUCUAUCUUAUCGCCGAAGAAACGUUCAUCAAUCUCCUGACGUAUGCCCCUACUCAUGCCCCGACUCUCCUUUCGUGUAGAUCUAACUGGCGUCGAGGUCCUGCAACCCAAUGCCCCGACUCACCGCCCCACGGCUGCAAUAGUGAGCUCAGCGAAGGCAACGAGAUUCUUGUUGCGAAGAGUCCAGAGAGCAGAGAAAAAAGGCUUUUAGUCCUAACUUGGAAUGGGCGGAUUUGGGAAAAAGAAUGGACGAUGAUAAUAGUUCGGACGAAGCAUUAUCAAUAGAGACGACCAGCGAACUUGGCACAUCAGUCUCUUCAGGUAGGUCACAUAACAGUGACCUAGACGAUAUGAUGAUGACAUUAAAUGGGUCUGGCGAUGAAGCGGAGACUCAGGAUUGUCAACUAAUUUAUAUGAUGUGGAUGGCAGCUCGAUUUCCAAGAGGUCGGUCAACAAUUCCUCAACAUAAUAUUGGUCUAGGAGGAGAACAAUAUAUUCAAGAAAUAUUGAAUGGGAAUCCCUGUAAUUGCCGUGACAUGUUUCGAAUGGAAGUUCUCGCUUUUCGCCAUGUAUGCAACCUACUACAACACGCGUUAAUUAUGAACCCUACAGAGCAAAUCUCAGUGGAGGAAUCGCUAGGCAUCUUUUGCCUUGUGGUUGGGCAUGCACAAGGUCAACGACUCAUUGGGGACCGGUUCCAACAUUCAAGUGAAACUAUCAAUCAACAUGUAAAGACAGUUAUGCGAGCUCUACAUCAACCAGGGAGAAGUGUGAUUAGACCAACACACACAGAGGGCGUCCAUCCUUACAUUGCUGAAAACCCCCACUGUUAUCCAUGGUUUCAGAUAAUGAUUUUCCUAAAUUGCCGGAAAGGUCGUUCAUUACUUCUAAAUUUUCUUAUAAAUCAAUGCAUUUAAUAUCUAUAUAAUGAUUGGGUGUGUUAUAUAAUAAUGGAACUGUAGAAAUGUCUUGGUGCUAUGGACAGAACAAUGAUUUCAACUGCUGCACCAUCUCGUCUCAGCAACGCAUAUAGAAAUCGAUAUAAUCGAAUUGCACAAAAUGUUUUGUGCUUAUGUGACUUUGAUAUGAAGUUCACGUAUGUGUAUACUGGAUGGGAGGGAACAGUCCAUGAUGCACGAGUUUUCUUGGAUGCUUUGAGCCGCGGUCGGAAUCGCUUUCCAUGGCCCCCGCAAGGAUGGACUCCGCGUUUCCAUGCAUUGAGAAGUUUAUGCCGCCUUAUGCACGAGAGAGGUAUCAUCGGUCUGACCGUGUUAGUGGACGUAAUUUCUGAGGUUAUAGAGAUUACUUCAAUUUUCGUCAUUCAUCGCUGCGGAACAUUAUUGAACACACAUUUGCAUUAUUGAAGAAUCGAUUUCAAAUAUUGAGCGCGAUGCCUCGUUAUCGCCCAACCAGGCAAGGGAUGCUCGUUACCGAAUGUUGUAUCCUACAUAAUCUUAUUAAAACGGUGACGCCAUAUAAUGAGUUCAUUCAGCAUGCAUUGACAAUGCAACUAAAUGGAGAUGGUUCUAUUGGAGAAGAAGAUGCGGGCGAGACGUCUAAAGUGGUUGACAUGUCUCAUGAGUCAGCUGGAGCUAUUGCUGCACAGAGGGAUGAGAUUGCCAUUCCAAUGUGGGCACAUAGGAAUGGGCAAUGAGUACAUACUUUAGUUAACUAUUUAUUCUCUUUUGUAUGCUUGUGCUAUUAUGUUGUAAAAAUGGAAGGAACAAUGUUCCUCGAAAUACCAAUAUGGGAUGACAUAUUGGUAUAUUUGGAGUAAUUUAUUCUCUUUUUUAUACUUGUGCUAUUAUGUUGUAAAAAUGGAAGGAACAAUGUUCCAUUCAAAUUUAUUAUGUACGAGACAUAUUUUUAUAUUUGGAGUAAUUUAUCUUUCCUCAAUGUCUA